CCUACGGGAGGCUGCAGUGGGGAAUAUUGCACAAUGGGGGAAACCCUGAUGCAGCGACGCCGCGUGAGUGAAGGAGUAAUUCGUUAUGUAAAGCCCUAUCAGCAGGGAAGAAAAUGACGGUACCUGAGUAAGAAGCCCCGGCUAACUACGUGCCAGCAGCCGCGGGAAUACGUAGGGGGCAGGCGUUAUCCGGAUUUACUGGGUGUAAAGGGAGCGUAGACGGCAGUGCAAGUCUGGAGGGAAAGGCGGGGGCUCAACCCCCGGACUGCUCUGGAAACUGUACGGCUGGAGUGCAGGAGAGGGAAGUGGAAUUCCUGGUGUAGCGGUGAAAUGCGUAGAUAUUAGGAGGAACACCAGUGGCGAAGGCGGCUUACUGGACUGUAACUGACGUUGAGGCACGAAAGCGUGGGGAGCAAACAGGAUUAGAUACCCUAGUAGUC
rnacentral:rRNA from 1 species